ACGGCCAUACUAUGCUGAAAACGCCAGUUCGAUUACCGAAGUUAAGCAUCAUCGGGCCCAGUUAAUACUUGGGAGAGUGACAACCUGGAAACAAAGCAUGCCG